UGACAGGCGGCAUUGCUAUCGGUGGAGUUGCAAUUGGGGGUUUUGCUAUAGGCGGUGUUGCAAUAGGUGGUGUUACAACAGGUGGUUUUGCGAUAGGUGGUGUUGCGACAGGAGGUGUUGCGAUAGGCGGUGUUGCAACAGGCGGUGUUGCAGAGGGAGGAGUUGCAACUGGUGGUUUUGCAAUGGGCGGAGUUGCAACAGGUGGGGUAGCUACAGGUGGUUUUGCUAUAGGUGGGGUUGCAACGGGAGGUGUUGCUACUGGAGGAGUUGCGACAGGCGGGUUAGCAAUAGGUGGAGUUGAUAUUGGUGGUGUUGCAAUUGGUGGCUUUGCAAUAGGCGGGGUUGCAACAGGAGGUGUCGCGAUAGGUGGCUUUGCUAUAGGUGGAGUUGCUACGGGAGGUGUUGCUAUUGGUGGAGUUGCGACAGGCGGCUUAGCAAUAGGUGGAGUUGCUACUGGAGGUGUUGCUGCUGGUGGUUUUGCAAUGGGCGGGGUUGCUACAGGAGGCAUCGUGACUGGUGGUUUUGCUAUAGGCGGGGUUGCAAUGGGAGGUGUUGCUACUGGCGGAGUUGCGACAGGCGGCUUAGUAAUAGGUGGAGUUGCUACUGGUGGUGUUGUGGAGGGAGGCAUUGCAACUGGUGGUUUUGCAAUGGGCGGAGUUGCAACAGGAGGGGUCGCGACAGGUGGCUUUGCUAUAGGUGGGGUUGCUACUGGCGGAGUUGCGAUAGGCGGGGUUGCUACUGGCGGAGUUGCGAUAGGCGGCUUAGCAGUAGGUGGAGUUGCUACUGGUGGUGUUGCGGAGGGAGGUGUUGCAAUUGGUGGUUUUGCAACGGGUGGGGUUGCAACGGGAGGUGUUGCUACUGGCGGAGUUGAGAUAGGCGGCUUAGUAAUAGGUGGUGUUGCUACUGGUGGUGUUGCAGAGGGAGGUGUUGCAACUGGUGGUUUUGCAAUGGGCGGGGUUGCAACAGGAGGCG
rnacentral:lncRNA from 1 species